UUUUUCCUUGGGGAAGGGAACUA
rnacentral:misc_RNA from 1 species